UACACACACACACACACAGAAUGACAUCCUACCUUUCCAAUCUUAUGGGGUCACAAUGCCUAUGACCUGUUUGUUUGGAAAUCAACUUUUACCUGUCACCAUGAUUAUUGGCUCACAGCAUUCUUGCCCACACUGUCUCCUAUCUUACCUACUUAUUAGUCCUGAAUCAGCCCUCUCAGAAUGUUGACAUUGAAACGCUGCCACCAUCUGGCCAGAUGGCCAGUCCUUCCCAUUGGCAGCUGCCAGGGAAACUGCAUGUACUGUAAUCAUUAGACUGAGGGACAAAGUCCUACAUAGAUGAGCUUCAAAAUUGUGAACUAUUUGUGUCUGUGUACAUUAGGCACUUGGUACCAGGGAUCGAAUUCAGGACCGGAACCACUGAGCUAAAUCCCCGGCCCUGACUGGUUCUUCUUGAAAUUGUCUUUACUAUGCUACUUUCAAACACAUGAUCUUGGAAGGAGAUCUCGAGUCUCACAUGAGACUCCCAACCCUCAUCAGCCCCUUGGUUUCAGCCUAUGGAUAUGCUGAGCAGAGAACUUAGUUGAUCCCUGCCUAGACUUCAGAUCUACAGAACUGUCAGAUAAUGAAUCUCAGCAUUUCUUUAAGGCGCUAACUUUGUAGUAAUUAGUUAUGCAGAAAUAGAAAAGCAACAAAAUGUUUCUACUGGUGGAUAAAUCAUUCAAUUUUUGUUUGUCUGAA